AUGAACUUCUCACACUCAGCAGCCACUCGGGAGUUGGGAAACAAUCUCCUGGGGUUUGUGCUGGCGUGAUUAAGGAAAGAGGCCACUUACAGGCCUUUGUCUAAAGCCUCGCGCCGGUGGUGGCUGGGGUCAGGAAAGCUGGGAGGUUCAACUACGGGCGAGAAAAUUGGGGCACUUUCCACGUCUCUCCCGAAAAUAAAAGAAAGGAUGCCGGGCACGGCGGCUCACGCCUGUAAUCCCAGCACUUUGGGAGGCCGAGGCGGGCGGAUCACCUGAGGUCAGGAAUUCGACACCAGCCUGGGCAACACGGUUCUGAAACAACACUGUAACUGCUGAAUGCUUCUGGCUGGUUCUUUCCACAGUAAAAGAUGAAAAGAAAUAUCUUUUAUUGAGAUAGACUGAGGUCCAGGAAAAACAAGUGCAACUUCAUGGUCCUUUUCUUCAUAUUCUGGAAUACAAGAAUACGUGUAAAUGUUUGCAAAUUCAGGUGCUAA
rnacentral:antisense_RNA from 1 species